UGUUCCUCAGGCUACACCCUCUCUCCCUUCUUGUAGAAAAACACUGCGCAGACUUCCUAUUAAAUACAAUCUUUUCCUAAAAGAAGGUCUCUCCCAGCCAGUGCCUGUCACAAAUGACAAGCUCCACCAGACCCUGUGCUCUGAGAACAAGGAAUUAGAGAAUCCCUGACCACUAAGAAUUAUUAUAGCUGGCUCACAGAGGAAACCUGAGAGGAAAUUUCUCGGCUGUUUACUUGAAGAACCUGGUCAAGUUCCUGGAAGUAAAAUUCACGAAAUGGCAGAGACUCCUGCAUGGAUUGGCUGCCGUGGGGAUUUUAAUCCUCCAAGGUGUCUGUACCAUGACUCUAGCAACUUUAAAAUAUUCUUGGUUUUCUUAAGUGCAAACUAAUUCCCAAGGUGGUUUCUGCUUGGGAAUUUAACCUCUUUGUGUUUACUAUUGUUUUCAGUCUUGGAGCAUAAUUUAUGUCCUUCUCCUCUCUCUCUUUAGUCCAAAAAGAGUUUCCAAGUUUCAUCUGUGAAUAUUUUUACUCUUUAGAAAAGAGUAGCAAACUAAAUAUGGAAACCGAAGGCUAUAGUCAAUUUUGCUUAAUUGAAAUUUAAGUAGCCGUGUGGUUAGUUACUAUCAUGGACACUGAUUGUAGGGGUGUACAAUUUCUAGAUCUCUAAUUUAGUUUUUAAAAUUUUAUAUAAUAAUGUGUCUAAUCAAAUAAUUAUAACAGGUUACAAACGUAUCUUUAGAAAAAUUUUAUUAACUAAAUUAUAGACUGAAUUGAAAUUUCUGGAAAAUAUCUAAAUUUGUGUUUAGUAUAAGAUAUUAUGCUACAAAAUUGUAAAAUAAUUGCUAAUGAAGACAAAGCAAGUACUGUGUCUUUUAUAGUGUGGUGAUACAUCAUAAAUCUCUACGUAUGACAAAGGGAGAGUCACGGAUCACAGUUGAGCUUGCAUGACUGCAUAUAUCAGUUUAGAUCAUUGUACCUUAAAGUCUAUGUCAACAAAACAGAAAAAAUACAUACUUUAUCAAUGUGAGUAUGAACUUCAAAUGAGACAAUCCACACGAAACAUUUAGUGUACCAUCAAGCAUGUAGCCAAACCUAAAGAAACAUUUUCCCCCAUAACAUUUUAAAAAGUUAAUUAAAAAUACUUUUAUUGUGAUCUGGAUAAUAAUCAUUUUUUUUUUUGCUAUUUCUAAUUCUAUUUGGUUUUGUUUCUUUAGAAAGAAUAAGCCACAAACAACACCACUAAAAAAAAAAAAAGGCUCAGUGAAUUUUAAAUCACAAAUCAAAACAACGCACAGUACAAAUGCUGAACAAAAGAAAAAAAUCUUCCCCUUGAAGGUCCGUUUUUCCAAACCACCGAGUUAAACGGUUUCUUCACCCACUGUUGAUGCUGGCAAGGCGCUCACACCCUGUUUGUUUCCCUUCUGGUCUUCCUUUGUGCCAAGCGUUCAUUUCUGAGCUGUGCCGCCCGCAAUGCAGGCUCGCAUCCUUCCAAGGAGAUCCUGUCAUUUAGGAAAGGAUUUGGGGCGGUCUGGUUGCCCAUGGCUCCAUGCCCCUACAGGACUGCCAAAUACGUGAGUGUGACUUCAAGGUAGGUGUGGACUGAGUCCAGGCGUCCUUGGUGCCAAAGGCUGUGUGGGGUCCAUUCCUGCCAUAGACUUCCCAUUCGAUGCUGAAACAUUCUUGUAAAGUCAAGACCUAAAGCUAAACAAACAUCACGGAUAAAUUUUGCCAUGACAUACAUUGACUUGAAUAGCAUGGCUGUAAAAAAAUGGUUAGGGAAAUCUUAAUAUUCACACAUAACAGCAAUACUAAUGCCAUGCUUUGUACCCAAAACCCAUAUUGGCAUAGGAGUCUCAUUGAAGUGACUUUACAUAGAGAACUUAGCUUCAAGGAGCCACGAUUUUUCCAUACAGUGAUCAUGUUUUAUUUUCUUUCUAAUCAUCCUGAGAGUUACUUAUGACCCUCUGUUUGUGGUAGUGCAAUCUUCAUACCUUCUAGUAUUUUUAGGAUCUGUGAAAGAUGGAUCUAUUUAGGAUGGAGAAGCAUAGCUUAAAUAAAUAAAUCGGUAACUAUUUCUUUAGGGAACACCUACUAUCAUAAAAAUUAUGCAUCGUGAAGUAUGAUUGUAAACAUCGCGUCUGUAGUUAUGUGUUCAACGACAGAGAGUUUAUUGCUUCCUUUGAGAACCUUUUCCAGUUUUAAUUGCUCUUAUAUUUAAGAAGUGCAUGCUUAAUUCAGUGGCAACUUGGAAACAUGUGAUGAAUGUGUAAUAAAAUUUUGCACCUAGCCUCAUGCUAAGAGCUCCAAAGGAAAAUUAAAUCUUUCUAAGUAGGAGGGAGUUGGCGGUCACAUUUUCCAUACUUUGCUGUAUGUGCUCCAAGCUCUGGAAUGUACCAAGGAAUGUGUAUUGAAAGAUUUGGUGUUGAUAUUUUUUUCUUCACAUUUUAUUUCAUUCACAAGGAAGUAAGGAAUCACUGUUAUCUUAUACAUAGAUUUAUUACACAAAUAAGAUAAAGUGUUUGCUUCUCAAUGGAUAUGUUGUUUCUAUGUCCAAGAAACAUUUUUAUUUUACAGGGAAAAAAAAUCAAAUAUCAUUAAAGCCAAUUACAGUGCGCCUUUCAGUCCUCAGGUUCAGUUUCGGCUGCAGGACUGGAAAUCAAAUCACAUCUCCCCUGUGCGUAGUGAGAAGAGGGAUGCCCCAUUUAUCAGGCCUGCUUAAAGGGUAAAGAGUGCCUCAUAAAAGAAUCUUACUCCUUCAUGUGUAAAUCAAAAAAAAAAACACUUAAGCAUACUUAAAAAUGUUACCCAUUACUUUCAUAAGCCAUGUGUCCUGAACACAAUUUAAUCAAAUUGAAAACUGAACUUAGCCACUUAUCAGUCCUAUAACUUUGGCAAGUUACUAAAAUCCAGCCCUGCAAUUUAGUAGCUUUAUAAUUUUGGCAAAUUAGUUAGCCCCUGUUUUCUCAUC